UACAGGUGGAUGCAUUAACGGUGCUACUUAAGCACAACUAACGUGCCAGCUGCUACGGGGUUAUAGGGUGUUUUAAAGUACUACUAAAACAUGGAUAGACACCAGUAGCAAUGAGAAGUUGUAUUUUAUUUUGAAACAAAUAUUAGGUCUAUUAUUUAGGCCCCACAUUUGCCAAUAUUCCAGUGGGCCCGGGGAAAGAUGCGGACACUGCAUCAGCAGAAUCAUGAUGUCCCUUUAGAGCCACGCAGUAAGAAAUGACAACAUGACGGAGUUUACAAAAAGUCAAAUAUCAUGCAAACUAAAAAAACAACACAUCUAACACAAACAAAAUAGCUCUUCGCUGCACUGAGGACAUCAAACUGUUAUUUCUUUAAUGAUCUUAGAUACGCAUGAAUUGUGAUCCAGUGCCUAUAUUGUGUGAGGCACAAUUGACAGUUCUUCUUCUUAAAGCGUUUAUUUAAAUGAAGCACUUUUGACUUGCCACGGAUGUUUAAGCUCUCGGGAAACAAUGUUUAAGCUCAUAUUUCAAAGUUGUUUCAUACUUUAGAAACACAAUGACAUGUUGACUUGAGUAGAUCAGCAACCAGGGUGCUUAGUAACACUUUGUCCUUGAUAAACAAAAAGUCAUUGUUUUGGGCCAAUUGAGCUUUAAACUGUUUGGUAUGAAGGUGUCAGGGAGACAGAGGUGCCCUUCUGUCUCCCUGACACCUUCAUACCAUAAAAAUAUUGAAUUAGGAAAACAUUUUUCUCAAGUUGCAGCUAAUGGUUAUUUGCAUUAUAAUUUAAUCGCCUGAUGAAUCAUUUAGCUGAUUGAAGUUUCUUAUUAUAAAAUGUUUUGUAAAAUAGUGAAAUUAGACAUUUCUAGAGCUAAAGCGAUGCUUUCAAAUGUCUUGUGCAUAGCAUUUUACUGAAGGCAAAACCACAAUGUACAUCUAAGUGUACACAAUUUUCCUAUUAUUGAUGAAUUUCAUAGAAUUAGCUGCUCUAUUGGUCUUAGCGUUUUUGAGAAUCUGACGUCCAAUCUCUCAUGAAUGAGUUCUCAUCAUUCACAGUUUUUAAUAUUUCAUGUCUGCUUCACUGUGAUUUGUAGCAGCACUGUUGUCGGGUUUCUAUUGAUUUCAUAUGGCUGUUUAUUUCCGUGUGAUUCCAUUUUAGAUCUUUUAUUCUCAUGUUGAUAUGCGGAAAAUUGUUUCAUCUCUUCAGAGAAGUUCUUUGAGUUUGAGUUCAAAAAGGUUUCAAAGAGCGUGUGGCGCUUUCAUGUUUCCGGUCACCCGCCAUGAAUGAAUAAACUGUGCAUGAAAGGCUUUCAGCCUGAAACGGA